CAGCAGCCACGGUAAUACAGAGGGUGCAAGCGUUAAUCGGAAUUACUGGGCGUAAAGCGCACGUAGGUGGUUUGUUAAGUUGGAUGUGAAAUCCCCGGGCUCAACCUGGGAACUGCAUCCAAAACUGGCAAGCUAGAGUAUGGUAGAGGGUGGUGGAAUUUCCUGUGUAGCGGUGAAAUGCGUAGAUAUAGGAAGGAACACCAGUGGCGAAGGCGACCACCUGGACUGAUACUGACACUGAGGUGCGAAAGCGUGGGGAGCAAACAGGAUUAGAUACCCGGGUAGUCCCUGUCUCUUAUAC
rnacentral:rRNA from 1 species